GCGUUGUUCGGAAUUACUGGGCGUAAAGCGCGCGUAGGCGGCUUUGUAAGUUAGAGGUGAAAGCCCGGAGCUCAACUCCGGAACUGCCUUUAAGACUGCAUCGCUAGAAUCAUGGAGAGGUGAGUGGAAUUCCGAGUGUAGAGGUGAAAUUCGUAGAUAUUCGGAAGAACACCAGUGGCGAAGGCGGCUCACUGGACUGGUAUUGACGCUGAGGUGCGAAAGCGUGGGGAGCGAACAGG
rnacentral:rRNA from 1 species